UACGUAGGGUGCGAGCGUUAAUCGGAAUUACUGGGUGUAAAGUGUGCGCAGGCGGCCGCGCAAGUCGAGUGUGAAAGCCCCGGGCUUAACUUGGGAAUUGCGCUCGAAACUACUUUGCUGGAGUGUGGCAGAGGAAGGUGGAAUUCCACGUGUAGCGGUGAAAUGCGUAGAGAUGUGGAGGAACACCAAUGGCGAAGGCAGCCUUCUGGGCCAACACUGACGCUCAUGCACGAAAGCGUGGGGAGCAAACAGG
rnacentral:rRNA from 1 species